ACUUAAAUUGAAGAGUUUGAUCAUGGCUCAGAUUGAACGCUGGCGGCAGGCCUAACACAUGCAAGUCGAGCGGUAGCACAGAGAGCUUGCUCUCGGGUGACGAGCGGCGGACGGGUGAGUAAUGUCUGGGAAACUGCCUGAUGGAGGGGGAUAACUACUGGAAACGGUAGCUAAUACCGCAUAACGUCGCAAGACCAAAGUGGGGGACCUUCGGGCCUCAUGCCAUCAGAUGUGCCCAGAUGGGAUUAGCUAGUAGGUGGGGUAACGGCUCACCUAGGCGACGAUCCCUAGCUGGUCUGAGAGGAUGACCAGCCACACUGGAACUGAGACACGGUCCAGACUCCUACGGGAGGCAGCAGUGGGGAAUAUUGCACAAUGGGCGCAAGCCUGAUGCAGCCAUGCCGCGUGUGUGAAGAAGGCCUUCGGGUUGUAAAGCACUUUCAGCGGGGAGGAAGGCGUUAAGGUUAAUAACCUUGGCGAUUGACGUUACCCGCAGAAGAAGCACCGGCUAACUCCGUGCCAGCAGCCGCGGUAAUACGGAGGGUGCAAGCGUUAAUCGGAAUUACUGGGCGUAAAGCGCACGCAGGCGGUCUGUCAAGUCGGAUGUGAAAUCCCCGGGCUCAACCUGGGAACUGCAUUCGAAACUGGCAGGCUAGAGUCUUGUAGAGGGGGGUAGAAUUCCAGGUGUAGCGGUGAAAUGCGUAGAGAUCUGGAGGAAUACCGGUGGCGAAGGCGGCCCCCUGGACAAAGACUGACGCUCAGGUGCGAAAGCGUGGGGAGCAAACAGGAUUAGAUACCCUGGUAGUCCACGCCGUAAACGAUGUCGAUUUGGAGGUUGUGCCCUUGAGGCGUGGCUUCCGGAGCUAACGCGUUAAAUCGACCGCCUGGGGAGUACGGCCGCAAGGUUAAAACUCAAAUGAAUUGACGGGGGCCCGCACAAGCGGUGGAGCAUGUGGUUUAAUUCGAUGCAACGCGAAGAACCUUACCUGGUCUUGACAUCCACAGAACUUGGUGCCUUCGGGAACUGUGAGACAGGUGCUGCAUGGCUGUCGUCAGCUCGUGUUGUGAAAUGUUGGGUUAAGUCCCGCAACGAGCGCAACCCUUAUCCUUUGUUGCCAGCGGUCCGGCCGGGAACUCAAAGGAGACUGCCAGUGAUAAACUGGAGGAAGGUGGGGAUGACGUCAAGUCAUCAUGGCCCUUACGACCAGGGCUACACACGUGCUACAAUGGCAUAUACAAAGAGAAGCGACCUCGCGAGAGCAAGCGGACCUCAUAAAGUAUGUCGUAGUCCGGAUUGGAGUCUGCAACUCGACUCCAUGAAGUCGGAAUCGCUAGUAAUCGUAGAUCAGAAUGCUACGGUGAAUACGUUCCCGGGCCUUGUACACACCGCCCGUCACACCAUGGGAGUGGGUUGCAAAAGAAGUAGGUAGCUUAACCUUCGGGAGGGCGCUUACCACUUUGUGAUUCAUGACUGGGGUGAAGUCGUAACAAGGUAACCGUAGGGGAACCUGCGGUUGGAUCACCUCCUUACCUUAAAGAA
rnacentral:rRNA from 1 species